GACGAACGCUGGCGGCGUGCCUAACACAUGCAAGUCGAACGAAGCACCUACCAAGGAUUUCCUCGGAAUGACUAAUAGGUGACUGAGUGGCGGACGGGUGAGUAACGCGUGGGUAACCUGCCAUAUGCUGGGGGACAACAGUUAGAAAUGACUGCUAAUACCGCAUAAGCGCACGGAAUCGCAUGAUUCAGUGUGAAAAACUCCGGUGGCAUAUGAUGGACCCGCGUCUGAUUAGCUUGUUGGUGAGGUAACGGCUCACCAAGGCGACGAUCAGUAGCCGGCCUGAGAGGGUGAACGGCCACAUUGGGACUGAGACACGGCCCAAAACUCCUACGGGAGGCAGCAGUGGGGAAUAUUGCACAAUGGGGGAAACCCUGAUGCAGCGACGCCGCGUGAGUGAAGAAGUAUUUCGGUAUGUAAAGCUCUAUCAGCAGGGAAGAAAAUGACGGUACCUGACUAAGAAGCCCGGCUAACUACGUGCCAG
rnacentral:rRNA from 1 species